GAACAGCGAACCUCCAGUAAGCCAUGUGAACCUGCAGCCCUCCCAGAUGCUCUCUGCAAGUUCACACCAAAAGCCUCUCCAAAGUCAUCGUGGAGAAUAAGUACACCCCCAGAGGCUUUUGCAAGAGGCUGCAGAACAGGCACUCUUACUGGACAUGUUCCUGCACAUAAUACAUCGAUAACUGUGUUCGACAGGCACUCUAACUGGACAUGUGCCUGCACAUAAUAUAUCGAUAACUGUGUUCUUCCUAAACGCCUCACGACCUAGGGUUUCCAUCCACUUCAAUGAAAUUUUCUCCAUGUGAGCAUAGUUAGGAUGAGAAAAAGAAUACG
rnacentral:lncRNA from 1 species